rnacentral:lncRNA from 1 species
UUUCAACAAGUUGUAUCUUUGCAAUUUCCAUUUGUACUUGUACUUGUACUUGUAAUAUUUCCCUCCAAAGGAUGAAUUAAGCUCCAUUGAUUUCAUUAUGUGUGUUUUCCUUAUUCUUGAUUGCAACCGUAAAUCACUAAGUAUUUAUUGCAAUGAAAUAAAUGUGAAUAACUAAAGAGCUUGGCAUUAAUAAAAAUAAAACCAAAAACAGUGAUGCA